CCCAUAGUGUGAGGAGGCCUAGGACAGUUACAGAAGCCAUGUGUAGGUGUUCUGGCUCCAGCAAAAGUCUUAUCUGACAACAUCAACUACAUGUUAGUGGCCUUUCCUUGAAAUUGCUGGAGCUUGUGCAUCAUCAAAAUAAUGGCAUAAACCAAGGAAGAAGAAAACAAAAUUGAGGAAAUGGGAUCCAACACAAAAGAGAGACAACAGGAUUAAUUGAGUGUUGGUGAAAAGCCACAGCCUGUAAAUAAUGCAGUUCGAACUGAAAUAGACCAGGAGGCUCAAGGAGAGACUUCUUCAAGAAGAUAAAAUUGAUAGAAUGCCUAAGGAGUUUGAGUGCAUUGAGAAUAGAUUCAUAUCAGUUCUGGAGAACUGGGUGGAUACAUUAAUGUUAAGUACAUAGAAAAGUUAAAAAUGAAAAAAAUUCUCAAUUCUAGGGAAAAUAAUCAUAGUAAACUACAUGUUUUAGUUACCAAUAGUGUUUACGUAGUCAAUAUAAACAAUGGGCAUUGAUAUAAAUAAUGUAUGUUGAUCUGCUAUAACAAGGUAUAACCUCAUCCUGGAGCAGGGCACCCUAUCGUCAGAUGGUAUCAUCUUUAAGGGGUUGUCUCAGCCAUGCCUUUAGAAUUACCUUUCAUUGCUUGUCAUGCUGGAAGCUUCUGAAUGUUGCAUUUUGUGAUAGAAACAGUGGGUACCAUGGUCAUGUGCUCACAUCUCCUUUGCGGUAAAGAAAAGGAUCACUCAUUAACAUCCACCAGAUAACAUUCUCCAUGAAAGCACCAAAUAAGGUUUGUCUUGGUCCAUUUUAUGCUGCUAUAACAGAACACCACAGACUGAGAAAUUUAUAAGGAAUAGAAGUUUAUUUGCCUCAUGUUUCUGGAGGCUGGGAAUUCCAAGAUCAAGGGGCUGCAUAGAUUGAGGUCCUUUUUGCUGACUCAUAACGUGGAAAGAGAGUGCACUGCAUAGAAGAAAGGAGGCCAAACUCAUUCUUUUAUCAUGAGCCUACUCCUGAAAUAACUCACUCUCAAGAUAAUGGCAUUAAUCCAUUCAUGAAGGCAGAAUACUCAUGAUGUAAUCACCUCUUAAAAGACUAACCAGAAUUGGCUACAGUUUCUUCAAGAAAAUACCCCAAUGGAAGAAAAAAAGGUGGAGGGAGAAACUGAAUGAAGAAAGGAUGAUUUGAAAUUACCAGAAAGUGGAACGUGGAAAAAACAGAGUAAAACUAGUUUGAGAAUAAAAUCUUAGGUUGUAACAUCUUCUGGGAAUUUAUUCUUUAAAUAUUGCUUUUAACUGGAUUCUUUGGUAAAUAGUAAAUGCAUUUUGGUUUUGAUUUAAGCAGCUCAUUCUUUU
rnacentral:lncRNA from 1 species